rnacentral:rRNA from 1 species
UACGGGGGGGGCAAGCGUUGUUCGGAAUUACUGGGCGUAAAGGGCUCGUAGGCGGCCCUCUCAGUCGGAUGUGAAAUCCCCAGGCUUAACCUGGGAACGGCAUCCGAUACUGGAGGGCUUGAAUUCGGGAGAGGGAUGCAGAAUUCCAGGUGUAGCGGUGAAAUGCGUAGAUAUCUGGAGGAAUACCGGUGGCGAAGGCGACUACCUGGCCUGUUCUUGACGCUGAGGCGCGAAAGCUAGGGGAGCAAACGGG